rnacentral:rRNA from 1 species
AUUGAACGCUGGCGGCAGGCCUAACACAUGCAAGUCGAACGGUAGCACAGAGAGCUUGCUCUCGGGUGACGAGCGGCGGACGGGUGAGUAAUGUCUGGGAAACUGCCCGAUGGAGGGGGAUAACUACUGGAAACGGUAGCUAAUACCGCAUAACGUCGCAAGACCAAAGUGGGGGACCUUCGGGCCUCACACCAUCGGAAGUGCCCAGAUGGGAUUAGCUAGUAGGUGGGGUAAUGGCUCACCUAGGCGACGAUCCCUAGCUGGUCUGAGAGGAUGACCAGCCAAACUGGAACUGAGACACGGUCCAGACUCCUACGGGAGGCAGCAGUGGGGAAUAUUGCACAAUGGGCGCAAGCCUGAUGCAGCCAUGCCGCGUGUAUGAAGAAGGCCUUCGGGUUGUAAAGUACUUUCAGCGGGGAGGAAGGCGGUGAAGUUAAUAACUUCACCGAUUGACGUUACCCGCAGAAGAAGCACCGGCUAACUCCGUGCCAGCAGCCGCCGUAA